rnacentral:misc_RNA from 1 species
AAUUCUCAACUACAUUAGUUUUCUGAUGUGGCUUGGAUAUGGGGGUUUUAUUUGCAGGCGUUACUACAAUUGUGUAAAGUCUGCUCCCCUGAAAUGUAUUACUGGUAUCUGAGCAGACACUACUAACAGAUGUGAUAAUUAUCUACAUCUUUGGUAUACUGCAGAACGGACUACACUGCUUCUAACCUGUGUACAUGGAGACACGUUUGACAA